CCCUUAGAUGUUCUGGGCCGCACGCGCGCUACACUGAAGGGAUCAGCGUGUUUUCCCUUCCCGAGAGGGACGGGUAACCCGCUGAACCCCCUUCGUGGUAGGGAUCGGAGCUUGCAAUUGUUCUCCGUGAACCAGGAAUUCCCAGUAAGCGCGAGUCAUAAGCUUGCGUUGAUUACGUCCCUGCCCUUUGUACACACCGCCCGUCGCUACUACCGAUUGAACGUUUUAGUGAGGUAUUUGGACUGGGCCUUGGGAGGUUUCGGCCUCCCUUGUUGCUCGGAAAGACUCCCAAACUUGAGCGUUUAGAGGAAGUAAAAGUCGUAACA
rnacentral:rRNA from 1 species